UUUUAAUGUCACCAUGUUUUGUAAUUUGCUUUCAUGUUGACUGUUAUGUUUGUAACUUAAUUUUUCUGAUCUUUUUGGUUUGUUUUUGAGCAUGUGUUACAGUUUUGCAGCAUAUAAGCGUGAAUAUGAGUAAGAGGCCGCCGCCUGAUCCUAUCGCUGUACUAAGAGGCCAUCGAGCUUCUGUGAUGGACGUUUGUUUCCAUUCAUCUAAUUCUAUACUAUUCACCGGUUCAGCUGAUGGUGAGUUGCGAAUUUGGGAUACGCAUCAACAUCGAACGGUCUCAUCUGCUUGGGUGCAUAGUGCAGCUCAUGGAAUUAUUUCUGUUGCCAGUAGUCCUGUGAUAGGCACUGACAAAGUUAUCAGUCAGGGUAGAGAUGGAACUAUUAAGGUUUGGGAUAUCAAAGAGGGAGGUCUUUCCAGGGUUCCUGCACUUACUGUCAAGACAAACUCAUACCAUUUCUGCAAGCUUUCUUUAGUGAAGAAGCCUUCUGGUAGUAAUGGGAAGCAAAAUGAAGAGCCUAGUCACCGCUAUAAGGAGGUGGCUACACAAUCUAUUGAUGAAAAAAAUUUGUAUGAUAGAGAAGAAAAGCACAAAGAAGAUUCUGUGAAUUGUUCUAGCACCUUUGAAGAUGAUGGUAAUGAUGGACCAAAGUGUGUUGCCAUAGCAGGGGAACAGUCUUCUGAGGUUGAGGUCUGGGAUCUUAAUACAGCAGAGAAGAUUUUGCGAUUACCUCAAAAUGGCUCUGGCGGUUCACCAAGUUCUACCAACAAAAGAGGGAUGUGCAUGGCUGUUCAAGUAUUCCUACCAUCAGAGUCACAGGGAUUUCUAAAUGUCUUGGCUGGAUACGAGGAUGGUUCUAUGCUUUGGUGGGAUAUGCGAAAACCAAGUAUUCCUCUAACUUCUGUAAAGUUUCAUAUAGAGCCAGUUCUAAGCCUAUGCAUCGACGGUUUGUGCAAGGGGGGUAUCUCUGGGGCUGCUGAUGAUAAAAUUGUGUUAUUUAGCUUAGAUCUUGCCAUGGGUUCUUGCAUGAUCAAGAAAGAGAUUACCUUGGAACGACCUGGUGUAUCAGGCACCUCAAUUAGAGCAGAUGACAAAAUUGCCGCAACUGCUGGGUGGGAUCACAGAGUCAGGAUAUAUAAUUACCGCAAAGGAAAUGCUUUGGCCAUUCUGAAGUACCACCAUGCUACGUUGCUUAGGCAUGGGUGCAUAUGAUUGUUAGAUAUUUCUUGCUUCAAUGCUUGCCUUAGCAGAGUUGCUGAACUUGUGUAAUGCGGUCUCAUAUUCACCUGAUUGUAAGUUAAUGGCAUCUGCCUCAGAAGACUCUACAGUUGCACUGUGGGAACUGUAUCCUCCUCAAACUUGAAGUAAUAGAAUGUUCAUUGAUACUAAUUGGCACGUAGCUGGGUUCUGAUAAGAUCAGCAUAUACGAUUCCUCAUCCUGCUUUCGGCAUCAAGUUGCUGAAUAGUUCUAGUGUCACGUCCUUCGAGGGGCUGUUUCAAUUCCAUGAAGAAAAUUAUAGAAGCAAGUGUACUGUAGGCUUUGAUCCUUGAACUUGUUUUAAGUUAUGUAAAUUAACAUGUUUCUUUCUUUCUUUCUUUCUUUCUUUCUUUCAAUGGUAGGUGUUUCUUAUAAUGCAACUGCUAUUUUAACGUUUUUUCUUUUUAGCUUUGGACUAAAUUGUCUUCUGUUCAAAAUAAGUCAAUGAUAAAAUCGCUCUUAGGUGCA